GGCAAUUUUCAAUUCUAUACUUCAAUAAAACUUUCAGAAAUAUUAGGUAUUGCCAUCAUUUAAUGAAUAUAAAAAUUCAUAUGCUUUAAGAAAAAUAAAACAAUGCUUCUUACUUAGGUUGAUAUCUUUUGUAGCAAGUGUUCAAAGCAAUGAUGUUCUUGUCAAUUUUGUGCCACAAUUUUCAACUCUCUUCAUGUAUAUUAAGAGAUGGGAUCAUAAAGUGCUUCAAUAUUUAUAGGCAAAAAGUGUCCUUUUAACCUGUCACAUGUUUUUUCUACACAUUUGUACAGGUAUUUAUACAAUUAUUUGUUCAUGUAAAUUUUGAACAGCUGAAUACUAAAUGUGGUCAGAAUUUGUCCCUGUCACAAGUGUACAUUUUGCAAGAAAGUUAUUUUAAAUUUUUCAUAAGAUAGAAUUUUCAAGGUUUUACAUCAUUUUCUUCAAACCAUUAAUGCUUAUCACUAGAUGUACUGAAAAUUUGAUGCCAAAACCUUGUGAACUUUUUUUGCAAGACAAAUAUUGCAUUGUACCAAGUGUACGAAUUUUUUAUCAUGUUUGAUGGACAGGUGAUAGCUUUUAAAAAAUAAACAAAGGCACUAAUUUUCUGGAAAGAAGUACACAGAAGAUGUAAUCUCCAAGAGAAAAAGGUGUUGUCUUCACUCUGGGGGUUAACUACUCUUAUUAUAUGGGUGGACUUCAAUAUGUAUGAUCUACUUAUGCUGCCACAAUGUAAAGGCAACAAUCACUGGGUUUUGCUGUUUGCAAGUGUUAUGUCCAGGACUGUAACCAUUUACGACUCGUUGGGUGGUAACAACAAGGCAUUGUUCGAUUUGUUCUGCCAGUUCAUGUGUCAACGAGCGCAAAUUGUGAACGAUGGCUUGGAAAAAAUUCAGUUCAGAGUUCAAAGCGCCACCUUGCAACAAACAGCGCCAUGGAAACAGCUGUGGAGUGUUUGCAUUGAUGACUGCCAAAUGUAUGGUCAUGAAAAAGCAUCCCACAAUGUUGCGACAGGCCCAUGAUUCAGCUUAUCAAGACUAGUCGUGAGACGCAGACUUCUGAUUCAUGGAGUGCGGCAAACAUAUCUGUGUGACUCGAUCACUCCACUGUAAAGACCCGCACGGCAUUAAAAUGGAUAUUAUCAAUAUGUGUUGUUGCUCGAAAAUAUGUUUUGUAGCAGGAAGUGCUUUGGGCUCGAUUAAUCUGAGAACUCAACAAAAUAUUAAUAAAAUCCUUCUGUGCCUUUUAGUUCUGAAAACAGAAGUAGCCAGUUGGUAUUACACAUCUCCUAAACAAGUACAGCACAAUAAAACUGAAGGUUUUAAAUCCUACAUUU